AUGAAUGGGGAAAUAUUCCAGACAUUCUACCCAUGGCCAUGGCCAACUGUGCCGCCCAAUCCAUGGGACUUGGGAAGAUAAGGUGGACCUGGCGGGGAAGAUCAGCGACUUGUUGGGAAGAUCGGCCCAAUAGUGAAUGGAAUAAUGUCAAUCAGUCCAAGACAAAAAUAAAAUGAGCAGCAGAAAAUAUAUUUGCAUUUGUUCCGUGUUAUAAGUAUUUGUAUGUAUUACAGUUUCUCACGAGAUGCAAAACACCGCUUCUUGAUAUUUUGCCGCGGAAAACCUGAUCACCGACGUGGACAG